rfam:Neurospora crassa OR74A unplaced genomic scaffold supercont12.9, whole genome shotgun sequence.
UACUUAAUUAAUUCUACUAAUAAUUAUAUACUUAUUUUAAAAAUUAAAUUAUAUAUAUUUAAAUUUAAAUAAUUAAAUUGCGAAAUUACAAAUAGCUUAUUAAAUCAAUUAUAGUUUAUUUAAUAGUAUUUUACUAUAUAAAUAACCGUAGUAAUUCUAGAGCUAAUAUAUACUAAAAACCCCAACUUCGGAAGGGGUAUAUUUAUUAAAUUAAAAACUAAUACCCUUCGGGGCUAAUUGGUAAUUUAUAAUAAUUUUUCGAAUUGUAUAGCCUUAUAUUAGCGAUAGUUUAUUCAAAUUUCUAUCCUAUUAACUUUCGACGGUUGGGUCUUAGCUAGCUAUAGUAAUAAUAAGUAAUGGAGGGUUAGGGUUCGACCCUGGAGAAGGAGUUUGAAAAAUAGCUAUUAUAUUUAAAGAAGGUAGUAGGCGUAUAAAUUAUUUAAUUCUAAUAUAAGGAAGUAAUAAUAAUAAAUAUUAAUAUAGGGCUCUUUUAGGUCUUAUAAUUGGAAUAAAUAUAAUUUAAAUCCCUUAAUAAAGAAUAAUUGGAGGGUAAAUCUAGUGCUAGCAAUUAUAGUAAUUCUAAUUCUAAUAAUAUAUAUUAAAGUUAUUGAGGUUAAAAAGUUCGUAAUUAAACUUUGGGUUCGGCCCGUCGGUCCGCCUUACUGUAUAUACUAAUUAGGUUGGGCUUUUUUUCUUAGAGAACCGUAUACCCUUUAUUAAGUAUAUUAGGGAACUAGGACUUUUAUUAUAAAUAAAUCAAAUCGCUUAAAGAAGGCCUAUAUUCGAAUGUACUAGUAUAAAAUAAUAAAAUAGAAUAUAUAGUUCUAUUUUAUUAAUUUUUAGGACCGUCGUAAUAAUUAAUAGGGAUAGUUGGGGGUAUUAGUAUUUAAUUAUUAGAGGUAAAAUUCUUAAAUUUAUUAAAGAUUAAUUACUACGAAAGUAUUUACUAAGGAUAUUUUUAUUAAUUAGGAACGAAAGUUAGGGGAUUAAAGACAAUUAGAUACUAUUAUAAUUUUAAUUAUAAAUUAUACUAAUUAAGGAUUAGAUAGUAUUAUUUUUUAACCCGUUCGGUACUUUACAAUAAAUUAAAAUAUUUAAGCUCUUAGGGGAGUAUAGUUGUAAGGUUGAAACUUAAAGAAAUUAACGGAAGGGUACUACUAGGGGUGGAGCUUACGGUUUAAUUUAAUUUAAUAUAGGGAAAUUUACUAGGUCCAAAUACAAUGAGGAUUAAUAAAUUGAAAACUCUUUUUUAAUUUUAUAGGUAGUAGUAUAUAGCCGUUUUUAAUUAAUAGAGUAAUUUAUUUAUUUAAUUAUAAUAACGAACGAGACUUUAAUUUGCUAAAUAGCUUAUAUUACUUUAGUAAUAUAUUAGUUUUUUAGAGGGACUAUCGGUUUAAAUUAAUAAAAGUUUAAAGUAAUAAUAGGUCUAUAAUACCCUUAAAUAUUCUAGGCUGUACGCGCGCUAUAUUAAUAUAGCUAGCGAGUAUUCCUUUAGUUGGAAGGUCCGGGUAAUUUUAUUAAAUUAUAUUAUAUUAGGGAUAGAAUAUUGCAAUUAUUACUCUUUAAUAAAGAAUCCUUAGUAAACGUAAAUUAUUAAUUUAUAUUAAUUAUAUCCCUGCCCUUUAUAUAUACCGCCUAUUAUUAUUAUCGAUUGAAUAGUUUAAUAAGGUUUCCGGAUUGGCCUAGGGAGGUUAGUAAUAACUAUUUAAAGCCGGAAAGUUAUUUAAAUUUAGUUAUUUAAAGGAAGUAAAAGUCGUAAUAAGGUCUCUAUUGGUGAAUUAGCAGAGGGAUUAUUA